rnacentral:miRNA from 1 species
AAAACUCCCAGUUGAAUUUGAAUUUCAAUAAACAAUUUUAAAAAAAAAAGAGCACAUCUAUCCCAUGCCAUAUUUGGGACAUACUUAUCCUAAAUAAUUAUUCAUUGUUUAUCUGAAAUUCAAAUUUGAUUGGACCGCCUGU